UAAGGAAUAUUGGACAAUGGAGGCAACUCUGAUCCAGCCAUGCCGCGUGAAGGAAUAAGGCCCUAUGGGUUGUAAACUUCUUUUAGACGGGACAAAACCCCUUUACGUGUAAAGGGUUGAUGGUACUGUCAGAAUAAGCAUCGGCUAACUUCGUGCCAGCAGCCGCGGUAAUACGUAGGGGGCAAGCGUUGUCCGGAUUUACUGGGUGCAAAGGGCGCGCAGGCGGAAUGGAAAGUCAGUGGUGAAAUCCUACAGCUUAACUGUAGAACUGCCUUUGAUACUUUCAUUCUUAAGUUCGGGAGAGAGAGACGGAAUUCCAGGUGUAGUGGUGAAAUACGUAGAUAUCUGGAAGAACACCAGUUGCGAAGGCGGUCUCUUGGUCCGAUACUGACGCUGAGGCGCGAAAGCGUGGGGAGCAAACA
rnacentral:rRNA from 1 species